UGUGCAAGUGACGAUAUCAGACAGGGACAUCAGCACCUCCAAUGGAGAAUGAUGAUUUGUCUUUGGGAAUCUCUCUGAUGCACA
rnacentral:snoRNA from 11 species